UCUCAUCACUGUCAAUUUCACUCUCAGCAUCCAAACCCUAGAAGAAAGGCAAUGUCGACGCCGUCUGGAUUGCUCCGGGGCUCCAGGGCUUUGCUCGCCGCCGCCAGGUCUGCCGCGGCGCCGAGCGUAAAAGCCCCCGCCGCACCGAAUCCAGCUAAGCAAAAGAAGCCAACCCCACCGUCUGGGAUAAUGAAGGCAAAACCGAUAUCGCUCGCCCUUCAGGAUUUUGUGGGUGAGCCAGAAAUUUCUAGGGUAGAGGCUGUGAAGAAAGUCUGGGCGUACAUCAAGCUCAACGAUCUUCAGAACCCGGUAGAUAGGAGGGAGAUCUUCUGUGAUGACAAGCUCAAGAAGCUCUUUGAAGGAAAGGAGAGAGUGGGGUUUCUUGAGAUCGCUAAGCUGCUCUCUUCCCACUUUGUGAAGACGGCUUGAAUGCUGCUGGGGUUCGUUGUCCAAACCUCGUGAAGAAGUUGCUUGCAAGUUCUAAUUUAACAUUCCUUUUUUUUGUGGAGACUUCCAAGUUAGUAUUUUCUAGCUUGACAAUGUAAAGGUCUUCCUAAAUAAUCAUAAUUUGUCCACUCGUAUAUCCAGCUAUUGAAAUUGGAAGGCAGUCUGAAUGGAAAAGUUCAAACUACUGAGAUUCUUGUCUUCUUUUAAAAAGACAACAGCGACCUAACUUGUUUUAAACAGAG